rnacentral:rRNA from 1 species
UACGAAGGGGGCUAGCGUUACUCGGAUUGACUGGGCGUAAAGGGCGCGUAGGCGGAUGGUACAGUCAGACGUGAAAUUCCUGGGCUCAACCUGGGGGCUGCGUUUGAUACGUGCUGUCUGGAGUUCGGAAGAGGGUCGUGGAAUUCCCAGUGUAGAGGUGAAAUGCGUAGAUAUCGGGAGGAACACCAGUGGCGAAGGCGACUACCUGGCCUGUUCUUGACGCUGAGGCGCGAAAGCUAGGGGAGCAAACGGG